UACGUAGGGUGCGAGCGUUGUCCGGAAUUAUUGGGCGUAAAGAGCUCGUAGGCGGUUUGUCGCGUCGGCCGUGAAAUCUCCACGCUUAACGUGGAGCGUGCGGUCGAUACGGGCAGACUUGAGUUCGGUGAGGGGAGACUGGAAUUCAUGGUGUAGCAGUGAAAUGCGUAGAGAUCAUGAGGAAGACCAGUGGCGAAGGCGGGUCUCUGGACAGUUCCUGACACUGAGACACGAAGGCCAGGGGAGCAAACGGG
rnacentral:rRNA from 1 species